ACGGAGGGGGCUAGCGUUGUUCGGAAUUACUGGGCGUAAAGCGCACGUAGGCGGCUUUGUAAGUUAGAGGUGAAAGCCUGGGGCUCAACUCCAGAACUGCCUUUAAGACUGCAUCGCUUGAACACGGGAGAGGUGAGUGGAAUUCCGAGUGUAGAGGUGAAAUUCGUAGAUAUUCGGAAGAACACCAGUGGCGAAGGCGGCUCGCUGGACCGUUGUUGACGCUGAGGUGCGAAAGCGUGGGGAGCAAACAGGA
rnacentral:rRNA from 1 species